rnacentral:rRNA from 1 species
GGCGAACGGGUGAGUAACACGUGGGUGAUCUGCCCUGCACUUCGGGAUAAGCCUGGGAAACUGGGUCUAAUACCGGAUAGGAACCGUCUUUAGUGUGGUGGUUGGAAAGUUUUUCGGUGCAAGAUGAGCUCGCGGCCUAUCAGCUUGUUGGUGAGGUAGUGGCUCACCAAGGCGAUGACGGGUAGCCGGCCUGAGAGGGCGACCGGCCACACUGGGACUGAGACACGGCCCAG